GGAUGUGAGGGCGAUCUGGCUGCGACAUCUGGCACCCCAUUGAUCGCCAGGGUUGAUUCGGCCGAUCUGGCUGGCUAGGCAGGUGUCCCCUUCCUCCCUCACCGCUCCAUGUGUGUGCCUCCCGAAGCUGCGCGCUAGGUCGGUCGAAGAGGACGACCAUCCCCAAUAGAGGAGGACGGGUCUUCGGUCAAGGGUAUAUGAGUAGCUGCGAUCCCCAGCUAGAACCUCCAAACAAGCUCUCAAGAAAUGUUCUCAUUAUCUUGCCUAUGUAAUUGUAAUCCCUCUGUACAAUAUGUUCACAAAUAAAAUAAAUAAAUUAUAUAUAUAUAUAUAUAUAU
rfam:Dipodomys ordii contig_5001, whole genome shotgun sequence.